CAGUCAUACCAACGGGAAAUCAACCUUUUGAGCUCGGUCUCGUGGGUUUUGAAGAGUUUCAAAGCCUUCGGAUUCGCGGGAUUGGGAUCUCUUGGUGUACUUUUUUCGUACGGUUAGUCAACAUCGGUUUUGAAUGUCAUAAAAUGACUGGAGGAAUGUAGCUUCGAUCUCGUAUUGAAGUGUUAUAGCCUUCGGUAGAUGUAGUGAUCGAGAUUGAGGAUUGCAACGGAUACCCGUUCGGGGCUACCUGUCUGGUCUCUGAUCGUUGCUCUGGUGCCGAAAGCUUGCUUACGGUAUCAAGUCGAUGGUC
rnacentral:rRNA from 1 species